GAUACAUGUCUCUGAGCUCCAUACACUCCAGCUGGACAUUGACAUAGAUGGUGACACCCCCUCCUCGUCUCCUCUGCCUGUCCUUCCUAAAGAGUCUGUAUCCUUCCAUUCCAACACUCCAAUCAUAGGAGCCAUCCCACCACAUCCC